ensembl:processed_transcript
ACCGUUCCCCGCCCUUGGGUGCUCAAGGUACAAGGGGCCGAGGCCCCGCUCUCACCCACCCGCGCACCGACUCCAGCCCCGGGACCGACGGCAGUGGCGGCGCCCAUGCCCAGCGCAGGGGAGCGUCUGCAAAGUGUCGCGGAGAGAAGCGCCCACCCACCACACUGCUUAAAGCUGGCUGGAAUAAGUUGAAACAGAAGAAUCCGAAGUUCAACGUUGUCUUCUGCAAUAUAUUGAGUUGGAGGCCGGCCUGGGCUACAUGAAAUCACAUCUUAAAACAAGGAUGGAGAGCGGCUGCGAUUCUUGCCAGUGAUCCAGCAGGGGAAAGUAAGGUCUCCAGAGGAGACCAGCCAUUCCAAG